rnacentral:rRNA from 1 species
GUGCCAGCAGCUGCGGUUAUACAAAGAAUACAAGUAAAUUAUAUUGGUUUUAAGUUAAAUAUAAUUUUAUUUAAUAAAUAAUAAAUUUUUAGGUGAAAUUUUAAUUUAUUUAAAUUAAUAAUAUUAGAUUUAUUGAAGCUUGGAAAAUUUUAUAAUAAACUAGGAUUAGAUACCCUAUUAUAGAAAUUGUAUAAUUAAAAGUCCAGAGUAGUAAUAGUUAUGGUCUUGAAACUCAAAAAAUUUGGCGGUAUUUUAGUCUAUUUAGAGGAACCUGUAGUAUAAUCGAUAAUCCACGAUGGACCUCACUUAAUUUUGUUUUUCAGUUUGUAUACCGCUGUUAUUUGAAAAUUUUAUAAGAAUAUUAAUUUUCAUAGAUUUUUAUUAAAUAAUAAAUCAGGUCAAGGUGCAGCUAAUGAUUAAGUAUUUAUGGGUUACAAUAAAUUUAUUUAUACGGCUAAAAAUAUGAAAUUAUUUUUUAAAGGUGGAUUUAAUAGUAAAUUUUUAUAGAUUAAAGAAUUGAUUUUAGCUCUAAAAUAUG